rnacentral:tRNA from 1 species
AGGCAUAUAGCUCAAUGAUGAGUGCGUGCUUAGCAUGCACGAGGUCCUGGGUUCAAUCCCCAGUGUCUCCA